rnacentral:lncRNA from 1 species
AUUCAAUAAAAUAUUUUAUUUUUUUAUAAAACAAUAUUUAUAAAGUUACUAGUAAAUAAUUUUUGUAUCAUAAAAGCUAAAUAAAUUCAUACAUACUGUAAUACAGAUAACCAAAGUAUAAAAUUUAAUUUACAGUGACAUGUGGACCCACGAACGACCAAAAGUAUCUAAAGCGGUAAACCUACAGUUUUUGAGGAUGCAAGUCCAACUGUAGCCCUCAACGAAAUGAGCUAUCUACCGACUAUCCUAAGCCUGAAAUGGGUGAAAAUGAGGGUGGUGAGAUUAUAUAAUCCCAGUGAGUAAACAAAUACCAUCUCAAAUAUCUAAAGCUGAGUAAAUGGAGACAGAUAAAAUAGUUUAACAUACUGUAAUUCAUCACCUUUCAACUUAUUUCAACAAAAUAAAAUCAAUUCAUAUAAAUCGAGUAAUCAACAGGGCUUAUGAAUUUCUUAAAACUUUGGCUCGUGCCAUAAUCAUUCUCAUACUCAGUUAUCAGGGAUACCUUGGCUAAGGGCUAUCCCAACCGAAACCGCCAAGGCUAUUAAAAAGUUAUGUACGCAUAAAUCAUGUUUUUUUUUUGAAAACAUAGUCGUUCCUUGGCGUUGGCUGAGUUCACCCUCACAUGGUGGUUUGGCGUAAAGUGAACUCUAAAGUUUUAACCUCAGGAGUGAUCCAACCGUGCCUCUCAUACUGAUGUAUGAAUAUAAUAGGGUUACCGUGCCCCUCUAAUAGGCUGGUCCAUGGAACCCGUCCACUGCAGCGACCAAUAUAUAACCCACCAAUUUAAUAAAAUUCAAUAGCAUGACAUGGCAAUUAUUUUAUUUUACAGCCUCUCAAGGCAAAUUAACAGUUCAUACAUUUUCAACACAAAUACCAAUUCAGCCAUUCAUGCAAAUAUUAUCAUAAGUCAUUCAAUUCAAACCAUGAUUUAUAACACAGCAAUUAGUCGUCAAUUACUCCAUUUUCAAAACCAUCAUUCAAUUUCAAGACAAUUUUAUAAAAUCAUUUUCAUUUAAUCACAUUUUGCUUAUAAAACAUAAAGAUUUACCAUUUAAACUCAUUUUCCAUAAAAUCACAAAAUUGGAUAAAAACCACUUUAGAUAAUUAAGACGAUAGUAAGGUUACUCACUAUUUCGAGAGUCGAAUUCCAAGUACUCCGAUUCCUGAUCCUCGGGUACUAUCUCUUUACUUUUGCCAGAAUGCUUACCACCUAGACAUAAUGCACAAUAAGCUAUUUACUAUAUUUGUGCUAAAUUGUUAUAAAACCAAUUCAAGCUCUAUACUAAUGCAUGAAAUGGAAUGCUAAUUGUUCGGAUUAUCGUCUAAACACGGUGUUCUACACAAAUUCAAUUAUGUACCUAAAUAAAAUGGUAUUGACCUAAUUCGAUCUAUCACUUGAUUAAUUGGCCAAUACAUCCAAUUUAACUCCAAUUAACUGCAUUUUUCUUCCAAUUCUCCAAACCAUCAAACACAAGUUAAAUAACUUGAAAUAUGGCAAAAUCAUCCUCACAUUUUCUCUUGGAAAAUUAGGCCAUGGUAGGUGCAUCAACACUAUAAUUUUUCCUACUUGAUUCUUACACCAUAAAUCACUAAUUUCUAACCAAAUCACUUGAAAUAAAAUCAAAAUCAUUCUCAAUAUGCCACAUGGAGAAUUCGGCCAAUGAUGGGUGAUGGAAGAACAUGAAUCUUUCUUGCUUGAUUUUCAUGCUACACAUCACCAAUCAACUAAAAACACUAAAAUACAUUGAAAUCUAACCAAAUCAAGAAUCAAAACCUCUCUCUAAGUGUUCAGCCAGCAAGAUACCCAUCAUAAAAUCAUGUGAUUCAACCAUGGAAAAUAAGAAAAAAAAUGCUUAAGAAAGAGAGAUCUCAAACUUAAUUGAAAAAUCUUACCUUUUUUCACUUGUUUCCUUGAAUUUUCACACUUUUCCCUUGAAUUUUCCACCUAGAGUUUUUGUUCUUCUUUUCUUCCUUUGUUCUUCCUUUGGCCGGCC